rnacentral:lncRNA from 1 species
GGGCAGUUGGUGGGUGGCGGUGACGUGCUCGUCGGCCCAUUCCUUUGUGUGUGGGAUGAGGUAAGAUUUCGCGCAUAAGGCGCGUGACGUCUGCCCAUCUGUCCGUUCGAUGCGAUCCCCCUCGUCCGGCCGCCAUAAUUGAAGGACGGACGGAUGGAUCGAUACAACAAUGCUACAACAGCAACAGAAAAAAAAAAAGAGGAAAGGAAAAAGAGAGAAAAUAAAGCGAAAAAGAGGAAGUUGUGUUGAUGAAUUGAAUCGAAUUGAAGUGAUGCAAGCCUUCCACCUCAAAGUUGAUUGAUUGAUUGAUUACCUCCAACGACCAAGACGGCAUGAAAUAAGCUAUAAACUUUCAGACAA